ACCCUUGUGGAGGAGGACGCCGAAGGUGGGGCUAAUGACUGGGGUGAAGUCGUAACAAGGUAGCCGUACCGGAAGGUGCGGCUGGAUCACCUCCUAACAGGGAGACAACAAAAUGUUAAAUAUUAAUUUUGUCACCUUAGGUCGAUCGGUAUCUCAGAUUCUUAAAUUAUUUUAAGAAUUUCAUUUCCUAAGUUUUUUCUAGGUCACACCCAUUACUUUUCCUGGGCCAUUAGCUCAGGUGGUUAGAGCGCACCCCUGAUAAGGGUGAGGUCCCUGGUUCAAGUCCAGGAUGGCCCAUAUCUCUAUGUUGGGGGUAUAGCUCAGUUGGUAGAGCGCCUGCUUUGCAAGCAGGAUGUCAGCGGUUCGAGUCCGCUUACCUCCACUGAUUACCACCUCUUCCAUAAAUUUAAAGAAGGGAAUUGUUAUUAGAUGUGAUUUAGUUCUGAACGAAUCUAGCUUCCUAAUAAAUAUAUUAAGAUGCUGGACUCAUUGAAUUUUAUUCAUUGUUUUCAGAGAACCUUGACAACUGCAUAGAUUAUUUUUAAAGACAAUAAGCAUCUUUAAUGAUGCAGAUUUAUUAUUUGUGCUAAUGCAUUAAUAACAAUUCUAUUGAGCUGAUGCUUCAAUUUUUUGAAGUUAUUGGUCAAGCUACAAAGGGCUCACGGAGGAUACCUAGGCACACAGAGGC
rnacentral:misc_RNA from 1 species